rnacentral:rRNA from 1 species
GAUGAACGCUGGCGGCGUGCCUAAUACAUGCAAGUCGAGCGAACAGACGAGGAGCUUGCUCCUCUGACGUUAGCGGCGGACGGGUGAGUAACACGUGGAUAACCUACCUAUAAGACUGGGAUAACUUCGGGAAACCGGAGCUAAUACCGGAUAAUAUAUUGAACCGCAUGGUUCAAUAGUGAAAGACGGUUUUGCUGUCACUUAUAGAUGGAUCCGCGCCGCAUUAGCUAGUUGGUAAGGUAACGGCUUACCAAGGCGACGAUGCGUAGCCGACCUGAGAGGGGGACGGGCCACACUGGAACUGAGACAGGGCCCAGCCUCCUACGGGAGGCAGCGGGAGGGAAUCUUCCGCAAGGGGCGAAAGCCUGACGGAGCAACGCCGCGUGAGUGAUGAAGGUCUGCGGAUCGUAAAACUCUGUUAUUGGGGAAGAACAAAUGUGUAAGUAACUAUGCACGUCUUGACGGUACCUAAUCAGAAAGCCAGGGCUAACUACGUG